AGGAACGUUUGCUCAGCUGCUGAGAAUAUAUAUUCAAUUAAAGGCGUGCACAGAGGGUGCAAUUACACAGCCGCAGAGCAGCCUUGGCCAGCGGCUCUUUAAUUCACUCGUGUGUCCGGCCGGCAUAUUGCUCGGACGGCGAAGCCAUUCCGCGGAUUCCCGCCACUUUUUCCGUUAUAGGGUUUGCUGUGCAUUCCGUUGCGUCUUAUCUGGCUGCUGGUGUGGCCCCAUUAGACAGUGCGGUGUGUGUAUUUCCUUUAAGCAGAGCCAGACACAAAGUACUGUUGUGGUUUAAUUUAUAACUCGGCUGCUUCACAGACGUAAUGAAAGCGGCAGCGAGAACGGGGCACAAAAGAUGGGAGCUCCGAAACGUGCAUAAACACAAUAUUAUGUUGAGACGAGGCAAAUGAGAAGCCAACAAUUAUAAAUAGAGCUGAAAAUCUAGCAUAUGGAGUCAAACCUUGAAACCUCGCACAGGUUUGAUUUCCAAAAAUUCAAAAGGCUGAAAUGAGGUUAACGAAAUAAAAUUUGGUGAAUCGCUCAUUCUCUCCGCCUCCGCCAUCCAUCACCACUAUAAAGAGAAAACAUCAAAGAUCGCUUUCCACUCUUUCCAGUUUGUGUUAUGUUUAUCAAAUUACAGAGGAUCACUUUCAGAGCCACUUGAAAAGUGCACGGAAGCUGCAGCGCUGAGAGUUGACAAGCGGAUGUCAGCACCAACAAAACGACCCUUUUUCACGGCAAACAGUCUUUCGACCGAGAAAAAAGCUCUCUGAGAAACACUCUUUCCCGAGCCUUGGAAUUUUUUGAACAGCAUUUGUGACGCACGGCUUCGUCCAGAAUGGUCCCUAAAAAGCCGCUGGAAUUCGGACAUACGUGCGGGUAAACUCGCAAUGUAACGAGUCAAGGUGAACUUCAAACGCGCUUUAAAAGCAGCGUCACGCGGAUAAAACUGGUGAAAUGCAACAACACGCUUGAAAAAAAGAAGUAAAAAGCGCUUAAACCAAAAACAUUCAUGAGCUCGACCGCCAAAAAGGUCAGCAAACGUGGGAUUUUUUUUAAACUCUACUAUAGUGAAAUAAGUUAAAAUAAGUUUAUAAGAUUUGAAAAUGAAAUUAAAUUUGGUUCAAAUUUCAGAGUAGGUAAAAAUGUGUAU